UCCCUGAGACCCUAACUUGCGA
rnacentral:ncRNA from 3 species